GGAGAAAAGCAGGGGAUCGCAAGACCUUGCGCUCAUUGAGCGGCCGAUGCCUGAUUAGCUAGUUGGUGAGGUAAAGGCUUACCAAGGCGACAAUCAGUAGCUGGUCUGAGAGGACGACCAACCACACUGGGACUGAGACACGGCCCAGACUCCUACGGGAGGCAGCAGUGGGGAAUUUUGGACAAUGGGGGAAACCCUGAUCCAGCCAUGCCGCGUGAGUGAAGAAGGCCUUCGGGUUGUAAAGCUCUUUCAGCCGGAACGAAACAGUCACGGAUAAUACCCGCGACUACUGACGGUACCGGAAGAAGAAGCACCGGCUAAAUACGUGCCAGCAGCCGCGGUAAUACGUAGGGUGCGAGCGUUAAUCGGAAUUACUGGGCGUAAAGCGUGCGCAGGCGGUUUUGUAAGU
rnacentral:rRNA from 1 species